rnacentral:rRNA from 1 species
AAUCCAUAGGUUAAUGAGGCGAACCGGGGGAACUGAAACAUCUAAGUACCCCGAGGAAAAGAAAUCAACCGAGAUUCCCCCAGUAGCGGCGAGCGAACGGGGAGGAGCCCAGAGCCUGAAUCAGCAUGUGUGUUAGUGGAAGCGUCUGGAAAGGCGCGCGAUACAGGGUGACAGCCCCGUACACAAAAGCGCAUGUGCUGUGAGCUCGAUGAGUAGGGCGGGACACGUGGUAUCCUGUCUGAAUAUGGGGGGACCAUCCUCCAAGGCUAAAUACUCCUGACUGACCGAUAGUGAACCAGUACCGUGAGGGAAAGGCGAAAAGAACCCCGGCGAGGGGAGUGAAAAAGAACCUGAAACCGUGUACGUACAAGCAGUGGGAGCCUCUUUUAUGGGGUGACUGCGUACCUUUUGUAUAAUGGGUCAGCGACUUAUAUUCUGUAGCAAGGUUAACCGAAUAGGGGAGCCGGAGGGAAACCGAGUCUUAAUUGGGCGUUAAGUUGCAGGGUAUAGACCCGAAACCCGGUGAUCUAGCCAUGGGCAGGUUGAAGGUUGGGUAACACUAACUGGAGGACCGAACCGACUAAUGUUGAAAAAUUAGCGGAUGACCUGUGGCUGGGGGUGAAAGGCCAAUCAAACCGGGAGAUAGCUGGUUCUCCCCGAAAGCUAUUUAGGUAGCGCCUCGUGAAUUCAUCUCCGGGGGUAGAGCACUGUUUCGGCUAGGGGGCCAUCCCGGCUUACCAACCCGAUGCAAACUGCGAAUACCGGAGAAUGUUAUCACGGGAGACACACGGCGGGUGCUAACGUCCGUCGUGAAGAGGGAAACAACCCAGACCGCCAGCUAAGGUCCCAAAGUCAUGGUUAAGUGGGAAACGAUGUGGGAAGGCCCAGACAGCCAGGAUGUUGGCUUAGAAGCAGCCAUCAUUUAAAGAAAGCGUAAUAGCUCACUGGUCGAGUCGGCCUGCGCGGAAGAUGUAACGGGGCUAAACCAUGCACCGAAGCUGCGGCAGCGACGCUUAUGCGUUGUUGGGUAGGGGAGCGUUCUGUAAGCCUGCGAAGGUGGCCUGUGAGGGUUGCUGGAGGUAUCAGAAGUGCGAAUGCUGACAUAAGUAACGAUAAAGCGGGUGAAAAGCCCGCUCGCCGGAAGACCAAGGGUUCCUGUCCAACGUUAAUCGGGGCAGGGUGAGUCGACCCCUAAGGCGAGGCCGAAAGGCGUAGUCGAUGGGAAACGGGUUAAUAUUCCCGUACUUGGUGUUACUGCGAAGGGGGGACGGAGAAGGCUAUGUUGGCCGGGCGACGGUUGUCCCGGUUUAAGCGUGUAGGUGUGUGUUCCAGGUAAAUCCGGUUCACUUUAACACUGAGGCGUGACGACGAGGCACUACGGUGCUGAAGCAACAAAUGCCCUGCUUCCAGGAAAAGCCUCUAAGCAUCAGGUAACAUCAAAUCGUACCCCAAACCGACACAGGUGGUCAGGUAGAGAAUACCAAGGCGCUUGAGAGAACUCGGGUGAAGGAACUAGGCAAAAUGGUGCCGUAACUUCGGGAGAAGGCACGCUGACACGUAGGUGAAGUGAUUUACUCAUGGAGCUGAAGUCAGUCGAAGAUACCAGCUGGCUGCAACUGUUUAUUAAAAACACAGCACUGUGCAAACACGAAAGUGGACGUAUACGGUGUGACGCCUGCCCGGUGCCGGAAGGUUAAUUGAUGGGGUCAGCGCAAGCGAAGCUCCUGAUCGAAGCCCCGGUAAACGGCGGCCGUAACUAUAACGGUCCUAAGGUAGCGAAAUUCCUUGUCGGGUAAGUUCCGACCUGCACGAAUGGCGUAAUGAUGGCCAGGCUGUCUCCACCCGAGACUCAGUGAAAUUGAACUCGCUGUGAAGAUGCAGUGUACCCGCGGCAAGACGGAAAGACCCCGUGAACCUUUACUAUAGCUUGACACUGAACAUUGAGCCUUGAUGUGUAG